rnacentral:rRNA from 1 species
CAUGCAGUCGACGCUGAAGCUCCAGCUUGCUGGGGUGGAUGAGUGGCGAACGGGUGAGUAACACGUGAGUAACCUUCCCUUGACUCUGGGAUAAGCCCGGGAAACUGGGUCUAAUACCGGAUAUGACCUCCUGUCGCAUGGUGGGGGGUGGAAAGAUUUAUCGGUCUUGGAUGGACUCGCGGCCUAUCAGCUUGUUGGUGAGGUAAUGGCUCACCAAGGCGACGACGGGUAGCCGGCCUGAGAGGGUGACCGGCCACACUGGGACUGAGACACGGCCCAGACUCCUACGGGAGGCAGCAGUGGGGAAUAUUGCACAAUGGGCGCAAGCCUGAUGCAGCGACGCCGCGUGAGGGAUGACGGCCUUCGGGUUGUAAACCUCUUUCAGUAGGGAAGAAGCCUUCGGGUGACGGUACCUGCAGAAGAAGCGCCGGCUAACUACGUGCCAGCAGCCGCGGUAAUACGUAGGGCGCGAGCGUUAUCCGGAAUUAUUGGGCGUAAAGAGCUCGUAGGCGGUUUGUCGCGUCUGCCGUGAAAGUCCGGGGCUUAACCCCGGAUCUGCGGUGGGUACGGGCAGACUAGAGUGCAGUAGGGGAGACCGGAAUUCCUGGUGUAGCGGUGAAAUGCGCAGAUAUCAGGAGGAACACCGAUGGCGAAGGCAGGUCUCUGGGCUGUUACUGACGCUGAGGAGCGAAAGCAUGGGGAGCGAACAGGAUUAGAUACCCUGGUAGUCCAUGCCGUAAACGUUGGGCACUAGGUGUGGGGGACAUUCCACGUUUUCCGCGCCGCAGCUAACGCAUUAA